CAGUGAAAAGCCAAAUAAGAGGCAUUUAACUGUUAAUUAAAAAAUUGUAAUUUAAUUACUUCGCUGG
rnacentral:tRNA from 1 species